UACAGAGGGGGCAAGCGUUGUUCGGAAUUACUGGGCGUAAAGGGCGCGUAGGCGGCCUGCUAAGUCGAACGUGAAAUCCCCGGGCUCAACCCGGGAACUGCGUCCGAUACUGGCAGGCUUGAAUCCGGGAGAGGGAUGUGGAAUUCCAGGUGUAGCGGUGAAAUGCGUAGAUAUCUGGAGGAAUACCGGUGGCGAAGGCGGCAUCCUGGACCGAGAUUGACGCUGAGGAGCGAAAGCUAGGGGAGCAAACGGG
rnacentral:rRNA from 1 species